UUCCAUACUUAAGGUGGGUGAUUGUUAGGCAUUGUUAUAAAUUGGAAAACAUCUCGAAUCAAUUCAAGAACACUGGACUACUAGAGGUAGAUGAUUGCAACCCAUCCUUUAUGAAGAAAAUGCGCGAGUGUCGAUCCUUUUUGGGUGCAGAAGCUAAAGUAGGUUCUUCAAGUACGGAUCUAUAAAGGAUUAUAAUAAAUUCCGAAUGGCUAAUCGUGUGUUGCUCGGCGAUUGAAAUGCCUCAACUAUUCAAAUGAAGAUGAAGAUUCCUAUUCGGCAAGUGUGGCAAAAUUUCAAAGCUUUCAUAAAACUGUUUAUGAUUUGAUAUUUUCCUGUUUUUGUAAACUUUUUUUUUUUUUGGUGAUCAUUGAAACUUAUGUUUUUGGAUAUUUUCUUGAUUUAUUCGUGAGGCCAUUCUUGUAA